rnacentral:rRNA from 1 species
UAAUCUCUACGGAGAAAAGCAGGGGAUCGCAAGACCUUGCGCUCUUUGAGCGGCCGAUGUCUGAUUAGCUAGUUGGUGAGGUAAAGGCUUACCAAGGCGACGAUCAGUAGCUGGUCUGAGAGGACGACCAGCCACACUGGGACUGAGACACGGCCCAGACUCCUACGGGAGGCAGCAGUGGGGAAUUUUGGACAAUGGGGGAAACCCUGAUCCAGCCAUGCCGCGUGAGUGAAGAAGGCCUUCGGGUUGUAAAGCUCUUUCAGCCGGAACGAAACGGUCACGGCUAAUACCUGUGACUACUGACGGUACCGGAAGAAGAAG